GACGAACGCUGGCGGCGUGCUUAACACAUGCGAGUCGAACGGAAAGGCCUCUUUCGGGGGGUACUCGAGUGGCGAACGGGUGAGUAACACGUGAGUAACCUGCCCUUGACUUUGGGAUAACUUCAGGAAACUGGGGCUAAUACCGGAUAGGAGCUCCUGCUGCAUGGUGGGGGUUGGAAAGUUUCGGCGGUUGGGGAUGGACUCGCGGCUUAUCAGCUUGUUGGUGGGGUAGUGGCUUACCAAGGCUUUGACGGGUAGCCGGCCUGAGAGGGUGACCGGCAACAUUGGGACUGAGAUACGGCCCAGACUCCUACGGGAGGCAGCAGUGGGGAAUAUUGCACAAUGGGUGGAAGCCUGAUGCAGCAACGCCGUGUGCGGGAUGACGGCCUUCGGGUUGUAAACCGCUUUCGCUCAUGACGAAGCUUUGUGUGACGGUAGUGGGUAAAGAAGCACCGGCUAACUACGUG
rnacentral:rRNA from 1 species